rnacentral:rRNA from 1 species
GAUGAACGCUGGCGGCGUGCCUAAUACAUGCAAGUCGAGCGAACGGACGAGAAGCUUGCUUCUCUGAUGUUAGCGGCGGACGGGUGAGUAACACGUGGAUAACCUACCUAUAGGACUGGGAUAACUUCGGGAAACCGGAGCUAAUACCGGAUGAUAUUUUGAACCGCAUGGUUCAAAAGUGAAAGACGGUCUUGCUGUCACUUAUAGAUGGAUCCGCGCUGCAUUAGCUAGUUGGUAAGGUAACGGCUUACCAAGGCAACGAUGCAUAGCCGACCUGAGAGGGUGAUCGGCCACACUGGAACUGAGACACGGUCCAGACUCCUACGGGAGGCAGCAGUGGGGAAUCUUCCGCAAUGGGCGAAAGCCUGACGGAGCAACGCCGCGUGAGUGAUGAAGGUCUUCGGAUCGUAAAACUCUGUUAUUAGGGAAGAACAUAUGUGUAAGUAACUGUGCACAUCUUGACGGUACCUAAUCAGAAAGCCACGGCUAACUACGUG